rnacentral:rRNA from 1 species
UACGUAGGGUGCGAGCGUUGUCCGGAAUUAUUGGGCGUAAAGAGCUUGUAGGCGGUUUGUCGCGUCUGCCGUGAAAAUCCGGGGCUCAACCCCGGACUUGCGGUGGGUACGGGCAGACUAGAGUGUGGUAGGGGAGACUGGAAUUCCUGGUGUAGCGGUGAAAUGCGCAGAUAUCAGGAGGAACACCAAUUGCGAAGGCAGCUCGCUGGGACGUCACUGACGCUGAGACGCGAAAGCGUGGGGAGCAAACAGG